rnacentral:rRNA from 1 species
AUGUGGAGUAAAACUUAUAAAAGCGACCUCAGUUCGGAUUGAAGGCUGAAAUUCGCCUUCAUGAAGUCGGAAUUGCUAGUAAUGGCAGGUCAGCAUACUGCCGUGAAUACGUUCCCGGGCCUUGUACACAUCGCCCGUCACACCAUGAGAGUUGGAGAUACCCGAAGCCUAUGAGCUAACUUUUAGAGGCAGUAGUCGAAGGUAGAAUCAAUGAUUGGGGUGAAGUCGUAACAAGGUAUC